AAUCAGUAUUGGACUUGCUCGACACUGUCAAAAGGAGCACACUGCAUAACUACUUUGGGUUUACAGUAGUUUCGAAUUUGGGGCCCUACACAAGUGAGCGUUUCGUUCACAUUGAACUGGAACUGGAGAAAGCAGUUUCAGGGGUCACAAAGGUCACCGAAAGAUGGGAUCGCUGCGUCGAACAUCUUCAGAGAUACGCUGAGCAUGCAUUGGGGCGCAUGUACGUAGAGAAAAUGUUCAAACCUGAAGCAAAGGAAGAGAUGGUGACAUUUGUGGAGGAGUUAAAGAAAAUAUUCCACAAACUUAUCUGCAAGAAGAAAUGGAUGGACGGAACGACAAAAAGGGAGGCUUUAAAGAAGGU